CUUAUGCAGUCGAACGGAAAGGCCUUCGGGGUACUCGAGUGGCGAACGGGUGAGUAACACGUGGGUGAUCUGCCCUGCACUUUGGGAUAAGCCUGGGAAACUGGGUCUAAUACCGAAUAGGACCACGCGCUUCAUGGUGUGUGGUGGAAAGCUUUUGCGGUGUGGGAUGGGCCCGCGGCCUAUCAGCUUGUUGGUGGGGUAAUGGCCUACCAAGGCGACGACGGGUAGCCGGCCUGAGAGGGUGACCGGCCACACUGGGACUGAGAUACGGCCCAGACUCCUACGGGAGGCAGCAGUGGGGAAUAUUGCACAAUGGGCGCAAGCCUGAUGCAGCGACGCCGCGUGAGGGAUGACGGCCUUCGGGUUGUAAACCUCUUUCAAUAGGGACGAAGCGCAAGUGACGGUACCUAUAGAAGAAGCACCGGCCAACUACGUGCCAGCAGCCGCGGUAAUACGUAGGGUGCGAGCGUUGUCCGGAAUUACUGGGCGUAAAGAGCUCGUAGGUGGUUUGUCGCGUUGUUCGUGAAAACUCACAGCUUAACUGUGGGCGUGCGGGCGAUACGGGCAGACUAGAGUACUGCAGGGGAGACUGGAAUUCCUGGUGUAGCGGUGGAAUGCGCAGAUAUCAGGAGGAACACCGGUGGCGAAGGCGGGUCUCUGGGCAGUAACUGACGCUGAGGAGCGAAAGCGUGGGGAGCGAACAGGAUUAGAUACCCUGGUAGUCCACGCCGUAAACGGUGGGUACUAGGUGUGGGUUCCUUCCUUGGGAUCCGUGCCGUAGCUACGCAUUAAGUACCCCGCCUGGGGAGUACGGCGCAAGGCUAAAACUCAAAGGAAUUGACGGGGCCCGCCAGCGCGGACUGUGGAUUAAUCGAUGCACGCGAAAACCUUAUGGGUUUGACGCCGACGCCGAGAUCGGUCCCUGGGCCGGGGGGCAUGGCUGUCCCUCGGCUUGGGUUAACCC
rnacentral:rRNA from 1 species